CCUUCCGUAGGGGGAACCUGCGGAGGGAUCAUUACCGAGUUUACAACUCCCAAACCCAUGUGAACAUACCUAUUGUUGCUUCGGCGGGAUUGCCCCGGGCGCCUCGUGUGCCCCGGAUCAGGCGCCCGCCUAGGAAACUUAACUCUUGUUUUAUUUUGGAAUCUUCUGAGUAGUUUUUACAAAUAAAUAAAAACUUUCAACAACGGAUCUCUUGGUUCUGGCAUCGAUGAAGAACGCAGCGAAAUGCGAUAAGUAAUGUGAAUUGCAGAAUUCAGUGAAUCAUCGAAUCUUUGAACGCACAUUGCGCCCGCCAGUAUUCUGGCGGGCAUGCCUGUCUGAGCGUCAUUUCAACCCUCAUGCCCCUAGGGCGUGGUGUUGGGGAUCGGCCAAAGCCCGCGAGGGACGGCCGGCCCCUAAAUCUAGUGGCGGACCCGUCGUGGCCUCCUCUGCGAAGUAGUGAUAUUCCGCAUCGGAGAGCGACGAGCCCCUGCCGUUAAACCCCCAACUUUCCAAGGUUGACCUCAGAUCAGUAGCAUCCCCCGCU
rnacentral:rRNA from 1 species